rnacentral:lncRNA from 1 species
GCAGUAUAUCGAUAUCAAGAUCAUGAUCUGCUAGUUUUGGAAACACUCAGGAAAUCAGUCAACCAGGAUAUCAAAAUGUUUUGGUAAUGGAGUAGUGUACACCUGUACAUUGUCGCUAGGUGUGGGUACAAAAUUACAGUAUCUUGAGUGUCCCCACCAACAGAAUUACAAUUGAGAAAAUUCAGCCAGGGCACAAUUUCAAAACAGAAAGAUCAGUCACAAAACAGAAAGUCUUGGUUUAAAAAUGGUAGUUAGGUCACUUUACCAGCUUCUCUUUUUUUCAUUCAUUUCCAUCACCAUCACCUUGGCUCGAGUUCUCUUUCUUUCACAAUGCCAAAGGAAUUCAGUUAGGAGUAACACUAAGUGAAUCAAAUUUGCAGAUGAUGUACUGAAAAGGGUGUUGUUUCUUGACAAGAAAAAGCAGAAUUGAUGUACUGAAAAGGGUGUUGUUUCUGAAACAAUUGUCAUAUUAUGAGUUCACCUAAGAAAAUUAAACUGGUUUCUGAAAGUUCGAAUAAGGUGCACAAAGCCUUAAGGUUCAAAUAAGAUGACUAUGACAGUAAAAGCAAUAUUGACAUGGAGUAAACAUUAGCACUAAUUGAAAUGAGUAAACACUAGCAAUAUUAACAGAAUUAAACACUAGCAAUAUUAACAGGAGUAAACAGAAAUAUUAGUACAAGUGCCAUACUACUGCAAGUGCUAAAUCUGAUUUGGUCUUUUUGCAAGCUUUUAGUCCUGCACUACUCCUAAUUAACUGAAGAAGAUCUUGAACUAAUGUAAGAGAAGAGAAAAAGAAGAGAGAAGCAAGAAUUCAGCUAAUUUUAAUUAACUGAAAAAGGAUUCAGUUAAUUUUACUCCUACACUAAAUCUGGAAUACUCCUACACUAAAGUACUCCUAAUUAACUGAAGAAGACCUUGAGCCUUUUAAACAACAGCAGCAGUAUACAGAUAAGCAAUCAUUUUUAUGCUCUGCUCAUCAUCUCCGGACAGAAAAUUACUCAUCGAACUACAGUACUGGAUCAAGAACUACACAUCGAACUACAGUACUGGAUCAGAGAACCCAUUUUAAAUCAGAGUUGCAGAGUGAGGGGCUCACCGAGGUAGAAGGUCUUGGCGUAGGCGUCGCCAAGGCGGGCCCAGCAGAGCCACCAGCGGCGCCUGCCCGCCUCGGCCUCCCGCGCAACAUUCUGAUGCAGAGGCCGGGGGUUAUCCUCUUUUUCAAAAAAAAGUUAAAUACUCAACUUGGUACAUGCAGCUUAAUUUACUUGAAUUCAGGGUACAUGCAACUUAACGAAACCAUCAACUUGGUAGAACUAAUAUAGCACCACAGGCAACAAUUGAUUAUGAUUAAGUUGGGGUCUACUCCAGUUAAAGUUGGAGUACAUGAGUAUUUGACUGGAAGACAAGUGAAGCUACAACAUUGUACUCCAGUUAUAUAAGGAUACAGUAAGCUUGAAUUUCAGGAUACAGUAAGCUUGAAUUGCCACAAACUGUCCAUCAGCAAGCUGUCCUUUGUACACCUCAGCAUGCCAUCCCUUUUCGAUCAAAUUAU